GCUUGCUUUGGCAGUGCAUAUGCUAACGGAAUGAUACAGAGAAGGUUAGCCUGGCCACUGUGCAAAGAUGAUAUGCAAAUUUGUGACAGGUUCCACAUUAAG